rnacentral:rRNA from 1 species
UGAAUACGAGGCACUAAGGUGCUGAAGUAGUGUAUGUCAUACUUCCAAGAAAAGCUUGCACUAUCGUAAGAUAAAAAUGCCUGUACCAUAACCGACACAGGUGGGUAGGUAGAGUAUACUAAGGGGCGCGAGAUAACUCUCUCUAAGGAACUCGGCAAAAUAACUCCGUAACUUCGGGAGAAGGAGUGCCUUAUUCUAUAAGGUUGCAAUAACAAGAUCCAAGCAACUGUUUAUCAAAAACACAGGUCUCCGCUAAGUCGUAAGACGAUGUAUGGGGGCUGACGCCUGCCCAGUGCCAGAAGGUUAAAGAAGUCGGUUAGCAAUUGCGAAGCUGGUAACUGAAGCCCUGGUGAACGGCGGCCGUAACUAUAACGGUCCUAAGGUAGCGAAAUUCCUUGUCGGGUAAGUUCCGACCCGCACGAAAGGCGUAAUGAUUUGGAUACUGUCUCGGAGAGGGACUCGGUGAAAUAGACUUGUCUGUGAAGAUGCGGACUACCUGCACCAGGACAGAAAGACCCUAUGAAGCUUUACUGUAACUUGAAAUUGAAAUUGGACUUUAUUCGCGCAGUAUAGGUGGGAGGCGUUGAUUAUAAUCUUGUGGGAUUAUUGGAGCCAUUAGUGAGAUACCACUCUUGUAAUGUUAGAUUUCUAACUUUGAAUCAUGAUCUGGUCAAAGAACAGUUUCAGGCGGGCAGUUUGACUGGGGCGGUCGCCUCCUAAAUGGUAACGGAGGCGUACAAAGGUUUCCUCUGAACGGGUAGAAAUCGUAUCUAGAGUGUAAAGGCAUAAGGAAGCUUGACUGUGAGACCUACAAGUCGAGCAGGGACGAAAGUCGGUCUUAGUGAUCUGACGGUACUGAGUGGAAAGGCCGUCACUCAACGGAUAAAAGUUACUCUAAGGAUAACAGGCUGAUCUCCCCCAAGAGUUCACAUCGACGGGGAGGUUUGGCACCUCGAUGUCGGCUCAUCGCAUCCUGGGGCGGUAGUACGUCCCAAGGGUUGGGCUGUUCGCCCAUGAAAGCGGUACGCGAGCUGGGUUCAGAACGUCGUGAGACAGUUCGGUCCAUAUCCGGUGUAGGCGUUAGAAUAUUGAGAGGAGCCUUCUUUAGUACGAGAGGACCGAGAAGGACAUACCUCUGGUGUACCAGUUAUCGUGCCAACGGUAAACGCUGGGUAGCUAUGUAUGGAGUGGAUAACCGCUGAAAGCAUCUAAGUGGGAAGCCCACCUCAAGAUAAG